CUGCAUAUAAAUAUAAUAAAUCAGCUGCAGUGGUGCACUCCUGUAACCCCAGAACUGGGGAGGCUGAGGCAGGAGGAU
rnacentral:miRNA from 1 species